rnacentral:lncRNA from 1 species
CGCCACUUUAACUUAAACUUUUUUUUUUCAUUAAGGGGACUGAUCAGAGUCAAACCAUAUGCUGUGGCUUUUGCUCCAUGGAAAUCUAAACUAUACUGCAAGAAUAAUUAUUCCUAGUUAAUGAAGUUACGGAAGAGAAUGUGGUGCUGGACGGUACUGACUGCAUGGGGAGAGGCCAUACCACAGAAACCUCAAUCUGCCUGAGCCGUGACUCUGAGAGCUGGAGUACCACUGGACAGGGUGUGUUUGAAACAAUUACACUAUAAUAAAUGAUUAUAAACAGAUACAGAAGAAUUUGACAGGCC